rnacentral:rRNA from 1 species
UUGCANUUAUUGCUCUUCAACGAGGAAUCCCUAGUAAGCGCAAGUCAUCAGCUUGCGUUGAUUACGUCCCUGCCCUUUGUACACACCGCCCGUCGCUACUACCGAUUGAAUGGCUCAGUGAGACCUCCGGACUGGCCCAGAGAGGUGGGCAACUACCACUCAGGGCCGGAAAGUUGUUCAAACUCGGUCAUUUAGAGGAAGUAAAAGUCGUAACAAGGUCUCCGUUGGUGAACCAGCGGAGGGAUCAUUA